UGUAUGUGUGUGAGAGAAGGAGGAAGAAGGGAAGGAUGGAGGGCUCUUCACAUGACCCACCACUGCUUUUAAACAAACAUGAACAUAGUUUCCUAGUUACUCUGGAACUGAUAGUCUGUCUUUUUGCCCAGACCCUAACCCCAAGCAAUAAAACUUAGUUAGGAGAUAAUACCUAGGCUAAUCAUAGGUCUCUCUCAAGAACAAAAACAAAUACUUCUUUUUCCACUGACCAAAACUUGGUUCUAACAUGUUCCUACAUCCCAAAUCCACUAUGACUAUAGUUCCUUGUUCAUAAGGGGGAAAAAGCAAACACAGGUCUCUAACGUGAGCCUUCAUUUUUCCCAGGCAAUUUAUUCAAGUAAAAGUAGAGAGGAAGGAGAGGAAGGAGAGAAAUGAUAGAUAGAGGUUACCCAUUUUUUUCCUGGAAAGAACAUCUCAUGUUUUCUAAUUUCCAAGAUUAAAAGGAAUAUAUUUUCUUCAAGUAACCAUAGAAACUACUACCAACAUAGAAGUGUUGCUUUUACUUUUCUUUCUUUCUUGCUGUUUUUAAAAUAGCUCUGUAUUAUUUAUGUUUCAAAGAGCUUUCCCAAAAGAAUUUCUAGGGCAAUUUUCAUACAUAUGGCUUCUCAUUUGGGUCUAGAAUAUUUAUGCUCAUUUUAUUAUUUUAUAUAAUAGAAGAAUAUACAUGGAGGUAUAUAUAGAGCUGUUUAACUGUAAAAUACUUAUAGCUAUAAAUAGAUGUGUGGGUACAAUGUGACCAUUUGGCUUCAGGAUUUCCCUUAUUUCCACUGUUGAAGCUUUACAACCCUAGUUUGAGAUGCCCUUCCUGCCCUUUUCCUCUGGGUUCAGCAAAGGCUCUCUUCAUCCUCCAUUUACACUUCAGCCUCCCAUAAAAGAUGCACAGUCAGUUUUCAAAUAUAGUCAAUUAGAGAAAGCAUCUGAGUGAAAGUUGUGACACCUAGUUAAUUCCAUGAACAAUUCCAAAAUUUGGCUAGUUUGUAUAACAUAAAAAAUAUUUGAAGCCGGGCACCGGUGGCUCAUGCCUGUAAUCCUAGCUACUCAGGAGGCUGAGA